rnacentral:rRNA from 1 species
UUUAACGGCCGCGGUAUCAUAACCGUGCGAAGGUAGCAUAAUAAAUUGUUCUCUAAAUAGGGACUAGUAUGAAAGGCACCACGAGGGCUUAACUGUCUCCCUUUUCCAAUUAAUGAAACUGAUCUUCUCGUGAAGAAGCGAGAAUAAAAAUAUAAGACGAGAAGACCCCAUGGAGCUUUAAACUCAUCAUCAUUUACUUUUUUCACAUCAUCACAUAUAGUAAAAAUGUUAACUGAUAGUUUUCGGCUGGGGUGACCCUGGAGAAAAACAAAUCCUCCAGGAUGAACGGAAUAAUAAUCCUAAUCAAAGAGUCACAACUCUAAGAAUCAAAACAUUGACAUCAUUUGAUCCAAUUACUUGAUCAACGAACCAAGUUACCCUGGGGAUAACAGCGCAAUCCAUUUCAAGAGCCCCUAUCGACAAAUGGGUUUACGACCUCGAUGUUGGAUCGGGGUAUCCCAGUGGCGCAGCCGCUACUAAAGGUUCGUUUGUUCAACGAUUAACAA